AAAAAAUACUCGUGUUGCUGUGGACUUGCGUGGUUGGCUAGAGAGAGAGAGAUUGGCGUGCAGCAAGGCAUUAAUAAGAGGGACAGAAGGUCGAAAAUGGAAUAAAGGAAAAUGAAAAGCAUGCUCUGGAAAUUGGAAUCAUUUGAGAGGAGGACAGUUGAGCAAUUAAAUCUCUGAGGCAACGACAGAUGAGCCUCAUUUACUCCUUCACUACUGGUAGUUGAGUAAUGAGUAGUGAGUGAACGUAGCUUAUUCCAAUGUCUACUCAUGAGUUAGCUUUCAGUAUAUACUAUAUAAAUACUAUUCGUACCCUCACUCAUUCACUGCACCGAUAGCCGCUCAUUCUCCCUUUCCUUCUUUCAAUGAAGGUUCAUUCUAAUGGCAUUGUGGUUGUGUUUGCCUUG
rnacentral:lncRNA from 1 species